rnacentral:tRNA from 1 species
GGCCUGCUAGCUCAGUCGGUUAGAGCGUCGUGCCAAUAACGCGAAGGUCGUAGGUUCGAUCCCUGCGCAGGCCA